rnacentral:rRNA from 1 species
AUGAACGCUGGCGGCGUGCCUAACACAUGCAAGUCGAACGGAGUCCAGCCUUUAAGACCUUCGGGUCAAAGAGGGGAAGACUGAGUGGCGGACGGGUGAGUAACACGUGGGCAACCUGGCUCAUAGAGGGGGAUAACAGAGAGAAAUUUCUGCUAAUACCGCAUAAGUACACACUGCCGCAUGGCAGAGGGUGAAAAGAGAAUCGCUAUGAGAUGGACCCGCGUCUGAUUAGCCAGUUGGCAGGGUAAGAGCCUACCAAAGCGACGAUCAGUAGCCGAUCUGAGAGGAUGAACGGCCACAUUGGGACUGAGACACGGCCCAAACCCCUACGGGAGGCAGCAGUGGGGGAUAUUGCACAAUGGGGGGAACCCUGAUGCAGCGACGCCGCGUGAGUGAAGAAGUAUUUCGGUAUGUAAAGCUCUAUCAGCAGGGAAGAUAAUGACAGUACCUGAAUAAGAAGCCCCGGCUAACUACGUG